rnacentral:ncRNA from 2 species
GUGUCCUUUGCUCGCGUCGGUUCUCCGCGAGGAGAUGAAAAGGGAAUCCGCAGCAUUUCGCUUCAUGCGACAUGCCAACCGGAACUGCCCCCGCAACUGUAGGCGGUGAGCCUCGGUCCGAAGAUGCCACUGGGCCCCAUGCCCGGGAAGGCCGGACCGGCGACGACCCGCCAGUCAGGAGACCUGCCGGCAUUUGACCGUAACA